GCUGUGCUUCCUGAGAACUUGGUAGGAGCUGGAGCAAGGGCCCCAGUGGCCAGAGGCCUCUCCCUCAAACCCUGCUCUCUUGCACUUCCUCUUCCACAACCAAAGGCCACUCCCGAAGCUUGCCUAGCUGACAAGAGAGGGCGAUGUGCCUCUCUUCCUCUGCCUCUGGACCCUCCUGACCAUGUCCUGCCCUAAGCUGCCAUCAGGACCGGUUGGUCUCCUGGCAGCUGCACCUGGAACUUCUCACAGGUCUAGCUCAGGCCUCAGACCCAGGUUCACUCACCCUCCUAGGAGAGGCCCUGCAGGGCAGAGUGGUCCUGCAGCUUAGAGUCUGAGGGCUCCUGUCCCACAUGCGGGUGUCUCCUCCUCCCAACCUGGAAUGUCCAGGGCAUCUUGCCACCUCCGAAGCCCUGGCACCUGGCCCCAGGGUCAGUGAGUGAAGGAGUGUGUGCAGGGUCCUGUGUGCAGGGUCCUGAGAGAGGAGGCCUCUGGGUCUCCACCAGCGGGUUUCUGUCCGUCCACCCAGGGAAAGUCAAGGAGAUGAGGGCGGCCUGGCAGAACGUGGGCUCUGCUGUGUGCCUGAGGCUGAGUCUUCUCUCCAGCGUCUCCCUUGGCCCUCACUUGGUCGCCCAGCAUCCAGCAUGAUAAUGCCAGCACGUGUGACUGGGGAUCCAGCAGCGAGCAAGCCAGCAGGUCCCCAGCCGGAAGGGCCCAGUCUAGAAAGAGAACCCACUAGCUGGGGCUGGAGCUCCGCAGGAGGGCAGGGGUGGGAAGGUGGGCAUGAGGGAACCUCUUCAGAGAGAAACUGCCACCAGGUCCUGGCCUGGAGGGCUCGGGCCAAACGGGACUCCUGGGCCAGGCUGCCGUUCCAGAAGGGGUACGGGCAGCCUCCCACUCCCGGUUGCCACACCGUGUCUUGUGACCAUCACAAGGAUCCCAGGUGACAAGGUGCCAUUAUUCCCCCCUCACAGGUAGAGGAACUGAUGCUCAAGCCCUCAGCCACCGGCAUCAGGAUCUGUCCUGGAGGCAGCAGCGGGAUUCCCACGGAAAGCUCCCUGACUGCAAAGCCUGCAUUUAACGGGCUUAGCUGCAAGGGCCUGCCAGGACCAGGCCCUCCUGGACAGCGGCAGGGCCACCGUCACAGAGGGGCUCUGCCUGGGACCUUUCUCUGGGCUCCUUGACCACGAGAACCUGAAUCUGGAGAGUGCUCUGGCCCCAGGGCACCUCGGGCACAGUGCGCUCGCUCGCCUGGGUCCAGGAGGACUCAGCCAUUUGGGGGUCUUUGCUCCCUGAGCCCACCUUUCACUGGGGGGUCAGCGGCCCUGUUUUCCCCACUUCUCCCCAGUUAACUGGGCUCCCAGGGGGUAAGGGAGGCUCCAUGACCUGGCCAGUGGGGGGCUCAUUUUGGGUGCUCCUACACAUGAAGAAGGUCACACUCAUUAUCUGAGCUUCUAGUAAGACAUUUCCAAUCUUAAACAAGUGUCUUUAAAAAAAAAAAUAGGUGUCCAUUAAGUGUACCCAGAACGUGGACCACACGGGACAAGGUUGUUCUAAUAAAUACGACUGAGCCAGUUUUCACAUCCGAGAAAUAACAGCUCCUCAUCGAAACGUGGCACUUUUAAAGAGGUUAAUUGAUAAACAGCAGGUAAUUGUUCGUGGUGCGUCGUGGCGCAGGGUAAUUUUCAUUUGAGAGGAUGGAAGGGCCAAGUACCCCUCCCCACUCAGCAUUUUUCUGUAAUAAUCACCUUGGCUUCCCCUCCGCCUUUAAUUUUUACAGCUGGAGCUGUUUAUCAUCGCUCCAACUUUCACUAAAGAGGCAAAACUAUCACUUAAACAAAGCCAUUGAAAACUCGGCAUCGUAUGCGGCUUUCUUAACAUAAAUAAAUCCUACAAACCAAGAUUUAUGUUCUCUGGAUGAUGUCAUUCAUUGAAGGCUGCUUCCCAAUCAGGUCAGCCUUUCCUGAUUCUCCCUUUGUGCCUGUGCUUUUCGCUAACCAGGAACAACCCGCUCUUUUGUCCCCAUCCCAAGACCUCAGAAGGUCUCACCCUGGGUCAGAGCCCGGCUCAACGGUGAGGACGGCUUUCCCUGCAGCCUGCCUCCCAAGCCCCUGCUUUUGAAGGUCAGCCUGAGGUUGACAGACUGGGAGACCCACCCGCAGCAGCGUUCUGGAAGCGCCAGGCAGGAGUCCGCAGGAGCCCAGUCCCGGGUGGGAGGGGGAGCAUCAGUCCUGAAGAGAUAGGCAGGUGCAAGGGAGAGGCAUGUGGCCAUGGAUGGGACCGGAGCCCUGGCUCAUGGUCGCUGAGGGACAAUACCCGUCACCCAAGGUCACGUCUUGUGGGAUUCACAUCAUGAAAUGCCCAGGUCCUGCCAACCUAGAGUCGGUGAAAAUAGAUUCGUGAGGAGCGGGCAGGGGACGCCUGCUUCAGGGUUUGGUUCCUUGUGAUAAUGUCUGGAAGGGGCAGUGCCCGGGUGGCACUCCUUGGGAGCCUGCCGAAGACCACAGCCUCGAACCCUCAACAAAGGCGGACGUGGUCACACGGAACCAGAUCCCCAAGAGGCUGCUGUUUAAAAUAACUACUCGGCAUUCACGUUUCAAAAGUCUUCUGCUCAUCUUCAAAGUCUUCACUUUUGAAAGGAGCAGCCGAAUCAAGUCCAGCUGCCUAACACAGACCCUGGGGUGUGAGCCUAGCUGCAGAGCUCCUUGCAGUGAUGGGGACCAUGGCAGCCCCAAUGGCAGAGGAAAUGUGGUCCACCCACUCACGCACGGGGACAUUCCUCAGCCGCCAGGGGAACGGAACAAAGCUCCUGCGGGCUUGGAAAUACCUUCCGGGGUGGAGGGAACCACACACAGAGCCACAGGCCGUGUGACUCCACGUUCAUGAAACGCCCACUACCGGCAGACCCACCGGGCAGGUGCAGGGCACAGCUGUCUCAAAGCCUGCGGAGAUUCUGUUGCUGCUUCUGCCCUGGAAUCUUCUCUUUGUCUCCGCCAAACCCAGGAACCAGCUCCAUCCACAGUGGACUUUGACCAUGUUGGGCCUGCACACACGCAGGGGCCUUUGCUCUUGCUGUACUUUGUGGUACUGGGGGUGGAACCCAGAGGCCUCACGCAGGCUGGCAAGGGCUGCACCGCGGAGCCCCAAUCCCAGUCCCACAGAGUUUUAGUCAGCUGCAGAGGAAAAAAGAAACCGUGUCGAGUGAGGGAAAACGGAUGGAGCUCGAGGACUUCACGUGGCGUGAAAUCAGCCAGCUCCCAAGGCCAAGGUCAUGUGUUUUCUCUCCUCUGUGGGAAAGAAGGGUGGGGUCUGGGGAGAACUGGAGGGAAAGGAGGGGGAGCGAGGUGGGAAGGAAAGGGGACUCUGGAGAAGGCCACUGGGUGAGUCACUCCGCGAGUCGAGUGCUGUAUGAACACGUGGCGAGGCCCCCGUAGGCACAGCUACCAUGCACCAGGGAAGACCACUAGUCGACCUGUUUCUGCCAUAAAAGAACAAUCAUCGCGCCAUCCCAAGGGUCCCUCUGGGUCACAGGACGUGCCCUGGACACGUCCACGGUGCGGCCCUGGGCAGUUUGCUGGGGACACUCUGUGGUGACUUCCUGCCCUGUUUUCUACUGGAACCCAGUGGGCUGCGCAGCUCCUUCUUCCCACCGCCCACCAUCCUGGUCUUCCCUCUCCAGACACCCGCUGGCCCUUGACUGGCUCCUGCCUGUGCCCAGGAAAUGACCAGAGGAUCUGAGAAGAGGGGGAGCUUGAGGCCUGCGGCCCGGGAGAUGCUGGACGUCAGCAUCUGCCAGAGUCGGCGACUCCCCAGGGAGGUUCCCAGAGAACCAGCUGGGCCUGAAGGCCCUGCAGUCACCGCCCAUCCAGGGACGGACCCCUGGCCUCCCUCCGUCUUCCCGAGGAGGAUCAGUGGCCUCGAGACCUUACCUGUUUCCUGAGCCAGCAGGCAAGAAACAGACGUUGAAGGAGUACCACUAAGAGGUGUGCCUUCACCUGCUCCUGGGAAUCCAUCUUGUCACCAGUACACACCUGAGGCAGGUAAUACCAUCUACUCCUUCCUCUCCACCCUGGGGAGGUACUGCCACCCACUCCAGCCUCUGCACACACCUGAGGCAGGUACUGCAUUCCCUCCAUCCUCUCCACCCUGAGGCAGGUACCACCAUCCUCUGCCCACACCUGAGGCAGGUAUUUCCACACCGGUCCCGAGGCUAGGAUGCCCCGACCCGCAGCACCCAGCAGACCUCAGAGUUACUAAGUGCAACUGUCCCGCGGCUCCUCCCCCAGGGAAACUUGCCCACCCUCUUCCUACAAUCAGGUCAGACCCUCCAGAUGGAGGGAGGAGGCCCUGGAGAUGCCCUGGACCCUGCUUCCUGGGGGCACCUCUGCCUGCCAUGGCCUCUCUUCCAUCACCAGAGGUCAGAGGACCCUCGGCUCUAUCUUCAGGGUCCAGCUGAUCUUGCAGGCGAGGACCUGUAAGGAAGACUUUAGGUGAAAGUUCUCCAGACAUUUCUGGAAAAUACAAAGUGGCAAAUCUGGCCCAGGAGGACAGAAAACUCAGGAUGUGGAGUGAGGAAGACCUCACCCUUCUGCAGAGAGCCCCGAGGCCACCC